UACGGGGGGGGCAAGCGUUGUUCGGAAUUACUGGGCGUAAAGGGCUCGUAGGCGGCCAACUAAGUCAGACGUGAAAUCCCUCGGCUUAACCGGGGAACUGCGUCUGAUACUGGAUGGCUUGAGUUCGGGAGAGGGAUGCGGAAUUCCAGGUGUAGCGGUGAAAUGCGUAGAUAUCAGGAGGAAUACCGGUGGCGAAAGCGACUCUCUGGACGGCAACUGACGCUGAGGCACGAAAGCGUGGGGAGCAAACAGG
rnacentral:rRNA from 1 species